rnacentral:rRNA from 1 species
UACAGAGGUCCCAAGCGUUGUUCGGAUUCACUGGCGUAAAGGGCGCGUAGGCGGCUUGACAAGUCACUUGUGAAAUCUCCGGGCUUAACUCGGAACGGCCAAGUGAAACUGUCAUGCUAGAGUGCAGAAGGGGCAAUCGGAAUUCUUGGUGUAGCGGUGAAAUGCGUAGAUAUCAAGAGGAACACCUGAGGUGAAGACGGGUUGCUGGGCUGACACUGACGCUGAGGCGCGAAAGCCAGGGGAGCAAACGGG